AUUGAACGCUGGCGGCAGGCCUAACACAUGCAAGUCGAGCGAGGGGCGGACGGGUGAGUAAUGUAUGGGGGCUGCGUGAUAGAGCGGGAUGACUACGGGAAACGUUGGCUAAUACAGCAUACUGUCGGAUUACUCGGAUGGGAUUAGCUAGUGGGUGAGGUAAUGGCUUACUUAGGCGACGGUCCCUAGCUGGUCUGAGAGGAUGAUCAGCCACACUGGAACUGGGACACGGCCCAGACUCCUACGGAGGCAGCAGUGGGGAAUAUUGGACAAGGGGCGCAAGCCUGAUGCAGCCAUGCCGCGUGUAUGAAGAAGGCCCUAGGGUUGUAAAGUACUUUCAGUCGGGAGGCGUUACCGACAGAAGAAGCACCGGCUAACUCCGUGCCAGCAGCCGCGGUAAUUC
rnacentral:rRNA from 1 species